rnacentral:rRNA from 1 species
CCUACGAGGGACUGCAGUGAGGAAUAUUGGUCAAUGGGCGUAAGCCUGAACCAGCCAAGUCGCGUGGGGGAUGAAGGUUCUAUGGAUCGUAAACCCCUUUUAUAAGGGAAUACAGUGCGGGACGCGUCCCGUUUUGUAUGUACCUUAUGAAUAAGGAUCGGCUAACUCCGUUCCAGCAGCCGCGGUAAUACGGAGGAGACGAGCGUUAUCCGGAUUUAUUGGUGUUAAAGUGUGCGUAGGCGGCCUUUUAAGUCAUCGGUGAAAGGCUGGGGCUAAACCAUAGAAUUGCCGUUGAAACUGGGAGGCUUGAGUAUGUUUGAGGCAGGCGGAAGGCGAGGUGGAGCGGUGAAAUGCUUAGAUAUCACGCAGAACCCCGAUUGCGAAGGCAGCCUGCCAAGCCAUGACUGACGCUGAUGCACGAAAGCGUGGGGAUCAAACAGGAUUAGAUACCCCAGUAGUC